rnacentral:lncRNA from 10 species
GCUGGGGGUUAGGAUUUUAAUAUAAAGUUUUUUGUGGGGGUGGGGGAGACACAAUUUGAUCCGUGCUGAGUCCAUUUUGUGUUGCUCUGACAGAAGACCUGAGGCUGGGUCUUUAUAAAGGAAGAGGUUGAUUUGGCUCAGAUUCUGAUGGCUGGAAGGUUCAAGACUGGGCAGGUGCACUCACUGAGGACCUCCCUCAUCCCUGAGGCUGCUGCUGCUUCUGGGGGAGGGCAGAAGGAUGCAGCUGUGUGCACAGAGAUCACAUGGUGCUGAAGGAAGCAAGGGAGAGAAAACCAAAUUCCCAAAUUCCCAAGGGUGAGCACUCACUCACCCCUUAAGGCAGGCAUUAAUCUAUCCAUGAGGACUCCACCUCCAAGACCACACAGCUCCUUAUGAGGCCCCACAUCCCAACACCUGCCACACUGGGGCUCGAAUCUCAACAUGAAUUUUAGUGAGGACAAACGAUAUCCAAACCAUUGCCACCCAAAAGAAGUGGGCUGAGGCCUGGCGCGGUGGCUCACACCUGUAAUCCCAGCACUUUGAGGGAAGCAGUUCCUCGUGAUGCUGGCGCCUUCCUGCUUCUCUUUCUGGCCCGCUCACUGCCAGGGGCACCUCGAGGACUCUCAAUUUCCCCCAGCAGUCUGCCUCCCUUGGAUCGAAUGCAGGGAUCUGGACUGGGGUGUUGGCUGGACAGUGAUUUGCAUGUUUUAUUUUAUAGAGACGGGGUCUCGCUCUGUUGCCCAGGCUGGACUGCAGUGGCGCAACCAUGACUCACUGAAGCCUCGACCACUUGAGCUCAAACAAUCCUCCCACAUCACCAUGCCUGGCUAAUUUUUUUAUUUUUUGUAGAGAUGGGGGGUAUCAUUAUAUUGCCCAGGUUGGUCUCAAACUCCUGACCUCUAACAAUCCUCCUGCCUUGUCCUCCCAAAGUGCUGAAAUUACAGGGGUGGGCCCCUGUGCCCUGCCUGACUUGUGUAUUUUACAUUUACCAGGAAACCCUGGCAUCUGUUGAGGUGGUGAUGCCCUGGUUUAAGAGCACAGUUCCACAUGGGGAGGCCCCCAAGACUCAGAGGCCAAAGCUGCCCUGUCCAACCUCCUUCCAAGAAGCCUGACCUUGACUCCCUUCACUGAGCUGAAAGCUUCCUGUGGGCUCUCCUGCUGCCGCGGGAAGCCUCCACUGCUGUGCUGGACUGUAACUGCCCAGAUGUGUCUCUCUGGAGCAGCUGUGCACCGUGUCUCCAUUAUAAACCACAUCUAACACGCAGGUGGCACCUACUGUUACCAGGCACGGCUCCAGGCCAGUAGCUCUCAACCUUGACUAUGCAUUGGGAGCACCCGAGGAGCUUAAACGAUGACUGAUGGCCCUUCUGCUCCUGAGAGCCUGACUUCAGGAGUCUAUGGCCCAGCCACCGGAGUUUUCGAGUUGCCCAGGCAAAUCUCAUGUACAGCCAGGGCUGAGAACCACUCUAGUCCUUGUGCUAACCCCUCAUCAUGCUACGAUCCUGUCUGAUCCAUGCUAACCGACCUUGAAUGUGCCAGUGCCACGUGUUAUGACGAAGACUCCCCCCUCCAUCUCUGCUGGGUUUCCCGACUCAUCUGCACCAGCCCUGGCUAUUCCCUCCACAGCUGGAAGCCAGAAUCUGGGACAGGUUUCCUGGCCUGUUUGGCUCUUUUCUGCCUGUGGGUGGUGUUUCGGGAAGGAUGGCACCUGGAUCAGCCAAGUGCUCUGGGCCUGAUGCCUCGGAGUGCGGGGUCAGUCCUGCCUGGAACCCUGGGAGUUCUUGCCAAGGGGAAUAGAUUCCAGGGGUUUGGCUCCCUCGGGCUGGGUUAACGCAGUGGAAAGAAGCCUGAGUGAACUCUUCUCCCACGAAAGGACAAUGUCAGCUGCCUCUCACUGCCUCCUCAGCCCAGCUCAGGGCCUGGCACAGAAGGGCUCCAUCAACAUUUGUGGGUCAAGAGAAGGGGUUGGGAAGUACUUACUACAGGCCAGGCCCAGCACACAGGCCUGAUUUUAUUUUCAGC